AUUGAACGCUGGCGGCAGGCCUAACACAUGCAAGUCGAACGGUAACAGGAAGAAGCUUGCUUCUUUGCUGACGAGUGGCGGACGGGUGAGUAAUGUCUGGGACACUGCCUGAUGGAGGGGGAUAACUACUGGAAACGGUAGCUAAUACCGCAUAACGUCGCAAGACCAAAGAGGGGGACCUUCGGGCCUCUUGCCAUCGGAUGUGCCCAGAUGGGAUUAGCUAGUAGGUGGGGUAACGGCUCACCUAGGCGACGAUCCCUAGCUGGUCUGAGAGGAUGACCAGCCACACUGGAACUGAGACACGGUCCAGACUCCUACGGGAGGCAGCAGUGGGGAAUAUUGCACAAUGGGCGCAAGCCUGAUGCAGCCAUGCCGCGUGUAUGAAGAAGGCCUUCGGGUUGUAAAGUACUGUCAGCGGGGAGGAAGGGAGUAAAGUUAAUACCUUUGCUCAUUGACGUUACCCGCAGAAGAAGCACCGGCUAACUCCGUG
rnacentral:rRNA from 1 species